rnacentral:rRNA from 1 species
GAUGAAGGACGUGCUAAUCUGCGAAAAGCGUCGGUAAGGUGAUAUGAACCGUUAUAGCCGGCGAUGUCCGAAUGGGGAAACCCAGUGCAAUUCGUUGCACUAUCGUUAACUGAAUACAUAGGUUAACGAGGCGAACCGGGGGAACUGAAACAUCUAAGUACCCCGAGGAAAAGAAAUCAACCGAGAUUCCCCCAGUAGCGGCGAGCGAACGGGGAGCAGCCCAGAGUCUGAAUCAGCUUGUGUGUUAGUGGAACGGUCUGGAAAGUCCGACGGUACAGGGUGAUAGUCCCGUACACCAAAAUGCACAGGCUGUGAACUCGAAGAGUAGGGCGGGACACGUGGUAUCCUGUCUGAAUAUGGGGGGACCAUCCUCCAAGGCUAAAUACUCCUGACUGACCGAUAGUGAACCAGUACCGUGAGGGAAAGGCGAAAAGAACCCCGGCGAGGGGAGUGAAAAAGAACCUGAAACCGUGUACGUACAAGCAGUGGGAGCACCUUCGGGUGUGACUGCGUACCUUUUGUAUAAUGGGUCAGCGACUUAUAUUCUGUAGCAAGGUUAACCGUAUAGGGGAGCCGCAGGGAAACCGAGUCUUAACUGGGCGUUAAGUUGCAGGGUAUAGACCCGAAACCCGGUGAUCUAGCCAUGGGCAGGUUGAAGGUUGGGUAACACUAACUGGAGGACCGAACCGACUAAUGUUGAAAAAUUAGCGGAUGACUUGUGGCUGGGGGUGAAAGGCCAAUCAAACCGGGAGAUAGCUGGUUCUCCCCGAAAGCUAUUUAGGUAGCGCCUCGUGAAUUCAUCUUCGGGGGUAGAGCACUGUUUCGGCUAGGGGGUCAUCCCGACUUACCAACCCGAUGCAAACUACGAAUACCGAAGAAUGUUAUCACGGGAGACACACGGCGGGUGCUAACGUCCGUCGUGAAGAGGGAAACAACCCAGACCGCCAGCUAAGGUCCCAAAGUCAUGGUUAAGUGGGAAACGAUGUGGGAAGGCACAGACAGCCAGGAUGUUGGCUUAGAAGCAGCCAUCAUUUAAAGAAAGCGUAAUAGCUCACUGGUCGAGUCGGCCUGCGCGGAAGAUGUAACGGGGCUAAACCAUGCACCGAAGCUGCGGCAGCGACACUAUGUGUUGUUGGGUAGGGGAGCGUUCUGUAAGCCUGCGAAGGUGUGCUGUGAGGCAUGCUGGAGGUAUCAGAAGUGCGAAUGCUGACAUAAGUAACGAUAAAGCGGGUGAAAAGCCCGCUCGCCGGAAGACCAAGGGUUCCUGUCCAACGUUAAUCGGGGCAGGGUGAGUCGACCCCUAAGGCGAGGCCGAAAGGCGUAGUCGAUGGGAAACAGGUUAAUAUUCCUGUACUUGGUGUUACUGCGAAGGGGGGACGGAGAAGGCUAUGUUAGCCGGGCGACGGUUGUCCCGGUUUAAGCAUGUAGGCUGGUUGUCCAGGCAAAUCCGGAUAAUCAAGGCUGAGGUGUGAUGACGAGGCACUACGGUGCUGAAGUAACAAAUGCCCUGCUUCCAGGAAAAGCCUCUAAGCAUCAGGUAACAUUAAAUCGUACCCCAAACCGACACAGGUGGUCAGGUAGAGAAUACCAAGGCGCUUGAGAGAACUCGGGUGAAGGAACUAGGCAAAAUGGUGCCGUAACUUCGGGAGAAGGCACGCUGGUGUGUAGGUGAAGUCCCUGCGGAUGGAGCUGAGACCAGUCGAAGAUACCAGCUGGCUGCAACUGUUUAUUAAAAACACAGCACUGUGCAAACACGAAAGUGGACGUAUACGGUGUGACGCCUGCCCGGUGCCGGAAGGUUAAUUGAUGGGGUUAUCCGUAAGGAGAAGCUCUUGAUCGAAGCCCCGGUAAACGGCGGCCGUAACUAUAACGGUCCUAAGGUAGCGAAAUUCCUUGUCGGGUAAGUUCCGACCUGCACGAAUGGCGUAAUGAUGGCCAGGCUGUCUCCACCCGAGACUCAGUGAAAUUGAACUCGCUGUGAAGAUGCAGUGUACCCGCGGCAAGACGGAAAGACCCCGUGAACCUUUACUAUAGCUUGACACUGAACAUUGAGCCUUGAUGUGUAGGAUAGGUGGGAGGCUUUGAAGCGUGGACGCCAGUCUGCGUGGAGCCAACCUUGAAAUACCACCCUUUAAUGUUUGAUGUUCUAACGUUGGCCCCUGACCGGGGUUGCGGACAGUGUCUGGUGGGUAGUUUGACUGGGGCGGUCUCCUCCCAAAGCGUAACGGAGGAGCACGAAGGUUAGCUAAUCCUGGUCGGACAUCAGGAGGUUAGUGCAAUGGCAUAAGCUAGCUUGACUGCGAGCGUGACGGCGCGAGCAGGUGCGAAAGCAGGUCAUAGUGAUCCGGUGGUUCUGAAUGGAAGGGCCAUCGCUCAACGGAUAAAAGGUACUCCGGGGAUAACAGGCUGAUACCGCCCAAGAGUUCAUAUCGACGGCGGUGUUUGGCACCUCGAUGUCGGCUCAUCACAUCCUGGGGCUGAAGUAGGUCCCAAGGGUAUGGCUGUUCGCCAUUUAAAGUGGUACGCGAGCUGGGUUUAGAACGUCGUGAGACAGUUCGGUCCCUAUCUGCCGUGGGCGCUGGAGAAUUGAGGGGGGCUGCUCCUAGUACGAGAGGACCGGAGUGGACGCAUCACUGGUGUUCGGGUUGUCAUGCCAAUGGCACUGCCCGGUAGCUAAAUGCGGAAGAGAUAAGUGCUGAAAGCAUCUAAGCACGAAACUUGCCCCGAGAUGAGUUCUCCCUGAGACUUUAAGUCUCCUGAAGGAACGUUAAAGACGAUGACGUUGAUAGGCCGGGUGUGUAAGCGCAGCGAUGCGUUGAGCUAACCGGUACUAAUGAACCGUGAGGCUUAACCUUACAA